UGAUGGGUAGAAGGCCUUGCUCUCAUGGGACCAGUGGUGGUGGGAGAUUUUGUUGGGGUGCUCUAAGAUAUCCUGGACUGGACUUGGGGAGUGCAACACCUCUUCAUUGUGGGAAGAUGAAUGCGAUCCGCUUCCUUUUCACACUCCUGUCACAGGGCUCAGGACUUUCAGUCUAUAUAGACUUUGUCCUUUGGCUCCAAGCCACAGCGUGGCUAUGGACUACAAAUAUGCCCCUCUAGAGGCUUUCAACCAAAUGGGCCAGGGCAGAGCUUUUCCCUGAGUCCAGAACUGACUACUCUGUGGCUUGUUUGCCUCUGUUGCUGGGAUGUUCUGUGUAGGAAGCAGGAAUCGAGCCCCACCCUUCAUGCAAGAACUAGCUACACAGGCUCACUUUCAGUUGUCAUAGAAGUCCCCCAGAAGGUCUGAAGUGACUUUCCCCCAGUGCAUACAACUGCCCCAGUGAGAACAGUGUCUGCUGUGUCUGCAACAGUGAACAAGGAAAGCAGGAGAUGACCCCCUCUCCAUGUCUUUUUCUCCUGGCUGCUGCUGUGUGAAGAAGGACAUGUUUGCUUCCCCUUCUGCCAUGAUUGUAAGAUUCCUGAGGCUUCCCCAUCCCUGAAGAAUUCAGUGAAGCCUGUGGAGAGCUGGAAAGAAAUAUUAUUUCCUGUAGUUCACCAUCUGUGGACCAAGGU